GGAUGGGGACAACAGCCCGAAAGGGUUGCUAAUACCGAAUAAGAUGGUAGUUGCGCAGGCAGCAGCCAUUAAAGGCGGGGACCGCAAGGCCUGCCGCCUGAAGAUGAGUCCGCGUCCCAUUAGCUAGCUGGUAGGGUAAAGGCCUACCAGGGCAACGAUGGGUAGCCGGCCUGAGAGGGUGAACGGCCACAUUGGGACUGAGACGCGGCCCAGACUCCUACGGGAGGCAGCAGUUAAGAAUUUUGCGCAAAUGGGGGCAACCCUAACGCAGCGACGCCGCGUGAAUGAUAAAGGCCUUCGGGUUGUAAAAUCCAAUAAGCAGGGAAGAUAAUCAGCGGGUAAUAUUCGCUGUGAUGACGGUACCUGCCUAAAGCCCCGGCUAACUACGUGCCAGCAGCCGCGGUAAUACGUAUGGGGCGAGCGUUGUUCGGAUUUAUUGGGCGUAAAGGGAGCUCAGGCGGGGGAUUAAGUUAAGAUGUGAAAGCCAUGGGCUCAACCCGUGAACUGCAUCUAAAACUGAUUCUCUUGAGUUCGGGAGAGGAGAGCGGAAUUCCCGGUGUAGCGGUGAAAUGCGUAGAUAUCGGGAAGAACACCAGUGGCGAAGGCGGCUCUCUGGCUUAGAACUGACGCUGAAGCUCGAAAGCGUGGGUAGCGAACGGGAUUAGAUACCCCGGUAGUCCACGCCGUAAACGUUGUGUACUAGGUGUAGGUAGGUUUCCUACCUGUGCCGUAGCUAACGCAUUAAGUACACCGCCUGGGGAGUACGGUCGCAAGACUGAAACUC
rnacentral:rRNA from 1 species